rnacentral:rRNA from 1 species
UGAUCAUAUUCUCAGAUCAAAGACUAAGCCAUGCAUGUCCAAGACUAAACAAGUUGUCAGUGAAUCUGCGUAUGGCUCAAUAAACGAACCAUCACCUCCCCGAGAACAAAGUACAGCUGGCUAACCGUUGUAAUUCAAGGGCUAAUCAUGCGUCAAUAGGGGCUUCGCAAGGAGCUCCUGCAUUUGUUAGUCUCAAAUCAACAUCUUUUGAUGAAUCAUGACAAACUGCGGAUCCUCAUGUUGCAAAAAACGGAGGACGACUCGGUCGGGUCUUUCCCCUAUCAGGUCUCGUAGGGAGUGUAUUGUACUCUCUAGCCUUUGACGGGUAACGGAGAAUUAGGGUUCGAUUCCGGAGAAGGAGCCUGAGAGACGGCUACUACAUCUAAGGAAGGCAGCAGGCGCGCAAAUUUCCCAAUGCUCAUCGAGCGAGGAAGUGACGAUCAAUAAUAAUGUGCGGGGUUUUACCCUGUGCAAUUACAAUGAGUAAAAUGUACAAGCGUUUUCCAUGAUCAAUU